CUGACAGAUUAUUUCAUCUGACAGCUCCGCACAGACUCUGCCUGGUUCUGUGAAAUUCUGAUCAAAUCUCGCGUAAACUUCCCGGGUGACAAGCAGAGACAGAACACGGCUCAGAGGACGCCAUCAGAUCCCCCGGAUUCGAGUGGGUCAGCCGCUGAUUUCACAACACAACAACCAGCGGAGCCGGCGACCGCGUUCCGGGGCGGCCGCCAGAUGUUCCCAACAACUAAAUGGCGUGAGAAGUGUUUCUGAGACUGCCAGCUGACAAGUGUACACACACCGUCCGGGGCCGGGAAGCGCGUCGCGGUCGCUAACUUGUUACACAGGAGCUAGAUUACAAUCAUAAAUAAAUGAUUUGCUGUCGUCUUGCA